rnacentral:rRNA from 1 species
AGCGAACGCUGGCGGCAGGCUUAACACAUGCAAGUCGAGCGGGCACUCUCGGGUGUCAGCGGCGGACGGGUGCGUACCGCGUGGGAACGUGCCCUCUGGUUCGGAAUAACUCAGGGUAACUUGAGCUAAUACCGGAUACGCCCUCUUGGGGACAGGCUUGCUGCCGGAGGAUCGGCCCGCGUCUGAUUAGCUAGUUGGUGAGGUAACGGCUCACCAAGGCGACGAUCAGUAGCUGGGCUGAGAGGAUGAUCAGCCACACGGGGACGGGGACACGGCCCAGAAUCCUAGGGGAGGCAGCAGUGGGGAAUAUUGGACAAUGGGCGCAAGCCUGAUGCAGCCAGGCCGGGUGAGUGAUGAAGGCCUUAGAGUUGUAAAGCUCUUUUAUCCGGGACGAUGAUGACGGUACCGGAGGAAUAAGCACCGGCUAACUUCGUG